CCUAGUUUGAAAGUCUGAUUAUUUUCUGUCCUAAAGGAACAUGUUAGAGGGGGUCUCCAGAGUUGCUGAAACCCUUACUCCAUAUAUUGCAAGAAAACUCCUCGAGUGUAGUUUCUGUGUCUGAUGAGUAUCUCUCUGCAGCACACAGCCAAGGGCCUGGACCAUAGAAAAUAUCCAGAACUGAGGACUUCUCCUGCCAAGCCCAGGGAGUCUGAAAUCACACAUAUAUUGUGAGAGAGAAAAUGAGGCUUUGUGUCUCUUAUGCCUCUGAUUUUUAGAAACGGGUCUGGGCAGUGUCAAAGAGUAAAACAGCCUUUGCGCAUCUUAACCACAGGUGUUUGCCUUGGCCUCAAUUAACACUGCACUGAAUCACCCAACUGAGAGUUUGCAGUCACUGGGCUAGACUCCCAGAGACCGACUCAGGCUGUCCUCAGGCCGCGUGAAAGCCUAGAGAUAUCUUGGUCAGCAGCUUCGCUGGGACUCCAAACUCGAGAAGGGGAAUCAAGCAAGGCACUUUGGCAUCACCAGUGUGAAGAAUCUCCAGCAGGGGAGGCAACAGAGCCCUCUCCAGGUGUCUUUGGGAAGGAUUCUGGAUAUUAAAGAUGAGAAAGGCCUUGGAGAUGAUCAAAUCCAAUCCCUUUAUUUUCUAAAGAAACUGAGGCUCGGAAUAAUUGACCUGACAGAUAGAAACUGAUGGAAAAUUUUAGUUCUGUUACUUACUUGCUGUGAGACCAUUUUGAAAAUAGACAUCAUAUCCUGUUUUAAUUACCCUAGACUUCAGAAAUAAGCAUUCCAAGAUAAACCUAUCUGUAUCUGGGGGAAUAAGAGUAGGCUCAGUUGACAGAAGACAAUAGGAAAAGUAACACAUAAAGAUGUCACCAGAAGACAAAGCUCUGGAUUUAAGAUUUGGAAGUUGGAAAAACUCUUGGAAGCUUAGCAAAAUUGUAUAUAACCAGGCCCAUAUGAAAUGGAGUGCUGUUGCAAGUUACUGUGCUGAGGAAGUUGAGGCUCUAAGACCAAAAUGUUGGCAAAUGGCUUGGAUUUGGAAUAAUGAAGAAGAGAGGCCAAGAGCCAAUCCUAAAGUAAUGACAGGAAGUUGGUGGGUGUCCCAGAGAGAGGUCACUUCUGGUAAGGAGCAUAGGGAGAGAAUGGAGGCAGAGGAGUCCUGUAAACUAAAAUCCAGUGAUUUGGGAAUAAA
rnacentral:lncRNA from 1 species